rnacentral:lncRNA from 1 species
AGAGAGUAGUACUAGGAUGGGUGACCUCCCGGGAAGUCCUCGUGUUGCACCCCUUUUUAUUUUUUAAUUUUUUUUUAGCCUAAAACGAGUCUAAACUUGAAAACCUCAUAACUUUUGAACCGUGAGGAACUACGUCGCCCAUAGCACCAUUUCGGAGAGCCCCAGAAACCAUAAUGGGCGGUGAAUAGGGGGCGCAAUUUUUCGGGCUCAAAUUCAGCCGUUUUGACCCUCAAACGGGCUGCGGAAAGUUAUGGCACGUAAAAAAGAUCGAAAGCGGAUUCUCAAGGUGUUUUUGAUGCUUUCUUAACGCCGUUAACCUCGAUGCACUUUUUCGCUCGAAACAAAACGGCAAAAAAAAUCAUGUGGGCCCCACGGCCUUACACUUGGAUUGGCCGCGAAAAGGAUAUAUAGAAACGAGAGUGAUGUACUGACGGGUGCGAUCAUACCAGCACUAAUGCACCGGAUCCCAUCAGAACUCCGCAGUUAAGCGUGCUUGGGCGAGAGUAGUACUAGGAUGGGUGACCUCCCGGGAAGUCCUCGUGUUGCACCCCUUUUUAUUUUUUAAUUUUUUUUUUUGCCUAAAACGAGUCUAAACUUGAAAACCUCAUAACUUUUGAACCGUGAGGAACUACGUCGCCCAUAGCACCAUUUCGGAAAGCCCCAGAAACCAUAAUGGGCGGUGAAUAGGGGGCGCAAUUUUUCGGGCUCAAAUUCAGCCGUUUUGACCCUCAAACGGGCUGCGGAAAGUUAUGGCACGUAAAAAAGAUCGAAAGCGGAUUCUCAAGGUGUUUUGAUGCUUUCUUAACGCCGUUAACCUCGAUGCACUUUUUCGCUCGAAACAAAACGGCAAGAAAAUCAUGCGCGCCCCACGGCCUUACACUUGGAUUGGCCGCGAAAAGGAUAUAUAGAAACGAGAGUGAUGUACUGACGGGUGCGAUCAUACCAGCACUAAUGCACCGGAUCCCAUCAGAACUCCGCAGUUAAGCGUGCUUGGGCGAGAGUAGUACUAGGAUGGGUGACCUCCCGGGAAGUCCUUGUGUUGCACCCCUUUUAAUUUUUUAAUUUUUUUUUAGCCUAAAACGAGUCUAAACUUGAAAACCUCAUAACUUUUGAACCGUGAGGAACUACGUCGCCCAUAGCACCAUUUCGGAGAGCCCCAGAAACCAUAAUGGGCGGUGAAUAGGGGCGCAAUUUUUCGGGCUCAAAUUCAGCCGUUUUGACCCUCAAACGGGCUGCGGAAAGUUAUGGCACGUAAAAAAGAUCGAAAGCGGAUUCUCAAGGUGCUUUUGAUGCUUUCUUAACGCCGUUAACCUCGAUGCACUUUUUCGCUCGAAACAAAACGGCAAGAAAAUCAUGCGCGCCCCACGGCCUUACACUUGGAUUGGCCGCGAAAAGGAUAUAUAGAAACGAGAGUGAUGUACUGACGGGUGCGAUCAUACCAGCACUAAUGCACCGGAUCCCAUCAGAACUCCGCAGUUAAGCGUGCUUGGGCGAGAGUAGUACUAGGAUGGGUGACCUCCCGGGAAGUCCUCGUGUUGCACCCCUUUUAUUUUUUAAUUUUUUUUUGCCUAAAACGAGUCUAAACUUGAAAACCUCAUAACUUUUGAACCGUGAGGAACUACGUCGCCCAUAGCACCAUUUCGGAGAGCCCCAGAAACCAUAAUGGGCGGUGAAUAGGGGGCGCAAUUUUUCGGGCUCAAAUUCAGCCGUUUUGACCCUCAAACGGGCUGCGGGGAAAGUUAUGGCACGUAAAAAAGAUCGAAAGCGGAUUCUCAAGGUGCUUUUGAUGCUUUCUUAACGCCGUUAACCUCGAUGCACUUUUUCGCUCGAAACAAAACGGCAAGAAAAUCAUGCGCGCCCCACGGCCUUACACUUGGAUUGGCCGCGAAAAGGAUAUAUAGAAACGAGAGUGAUGUACUGACGGGUGCGAUCAUACCAGCACUAAUGCACCGGAUCCCAUCAGAACUCCGCAGUAAGCGUGCUUGGGCGAGAGUAGUACUAGGAUGGGUGACCUCCCGGGAAGUCCUCGUGUUGCACCCCUUUUUAUUUUUUAAUUUUUUUUUAGCCUAAAACGAGUCUAAACUUGAAAACCUCAUAACUUUUGAACCGUGAGGAACUACGUCGCCCAUAGCACCAUUUCGGAAAGCCCCAGAAACCAUAAUGGGCGGUGAAUAGGGGGCGCAAUUUUUCGGGCUCAAAUUCAGCCGUUUUGACCCUCAGACGGGCUGCGGAAAGUUAUGGCACGUAAAAAAGAUCGAAAGCGGAUUCUCAAGUGUUUUGUGUGCUUUCUUAACGCCGUUAACCUCGAUGCACUUUUUCGCUCGAAACAAAACGGCAAGAAAAUCAUGCGCGCCCCACGGCCUUACACUUGGAUUGGCCGCGAAAAGGAUAUAUAGAAACGAGAGUGAUGUACUGACGGGUGCGAUCAUACCAGCACUAAUGCACCGGAUCCCAUCAGAACUCCGCAGUUAAGCGUGCUUGGGCGAGAGUAGUACUAGGAUGGGUGACCUCCCGGGAAGUCCUCGUGUUGCACCCCUUUUUUUUUUUAAUUUUUUUUUAGCCUAAAACGAGUCUAAACUUGAAAACCUCAUAACUUUUGAACCGUGAGGAACUACGUCGCCCAUAGCACCAUUUCGGAAAGCCCCAGAAACCAUAAUGGGCGGUGAAUAGGGGGCGCAAUUUUUCGGGCUCAAAUUCAGCCGUUUUGACCCUCAAACGGGCUGCGGAAAGUUAUGGCACGUAAAAAAGAUCGAACUAUGGAUUCUGAAGGUGUUUUUGAUGCUUUCUUAACGCCGUUAACCUCGAUGCACUUUUUCGCUCGAAACAAAACGGCAAGAAAAUCAUGCGCGCCCCACGGCCUUACACUUGGAUUGGCCGCGAAAAGGAUAUAUAGAAACAAGAGUGAUGUACUGUCGGGUGCGAUCAUACCAGCACUAAUGCACCGGAUCCCAUCAGAACUCCGCAGUUAAGCGUGCUUGGGCGAGAGUAGUACUAGGAUGGGUGACCUCCCGGGAAGUCCUCGUGUUGCACCCCUUUUUUUUUUUAAUUUUUUUUUGCCUAAAACGAGUCUAAACUGAAAACCCAUAACUUUUGAACCGUGAGGAACUACGUCGCCCAUAGCACCAUUUCGGAAGAGCCCCAGAAACCAUAAUGGGCGGUGAAUAGGGGGCGCAAUUUUUCGGGCUCAAAUUCAGCCGUUUUGACCCUCAAACGGGCUGCGGAAAGUUAUGGCACGUAAAAAAGAUCGAAAGCGGAUUCUCAAGGUGUUUUUGAUGCUUUCUUAACGCCGUUAACCUCGAUGCACUUUUUUUCGCUCGAAACAAAACGGCAAGAAAAUCAUGCGCGCCCCACGGCCUUACACUUGGAUUGGCCGCGAAAAGGAUAUAUAGAAACGAGAGUGAUGUACUGACGGGUGCGAUCAUACCAGCACUAAUGCACCGGAUCCCAUCAGAACUCCGCAGUCAAGCGUGCUUGGGCGAGAGUAGUACUAGGAUGGGUGACCUCCCGGGAAGUCCUCGUGUUGCACCCCUUUUUAUUUUUUUAAUUUUUUUUUAGCCUAAAACGAGUCUAAACUUGAAAACCUCAUAACUUUUGAACCGUGAGGAACUACGUCGCCCAUAGCACCAUUUCGGAGAGCCCCAGAAACCAUAAUGGGCGGUGAAUAGGGGGCGCAAUUUUUCGGGCUCAAAUUCAGCCGUUUUGACCCUCAAACGGGCUGCGGAAAGUUAUGGCACGUAAAAAAGAUCGAAAGCGGAUUCUCAAGUGUUUUUGAUGCUUUCUUAACGCCGUUAAC